rnacentral:rRNA from 1 species
GAUGAACGCUGGCGGCGUGCCUAAUACAUGCAAGUCGAGCGAACGGACGAGAAGCUUGCUUCUCUGAUGUUAGCGGCGGACGGGUGAGUAACACGUGGAUAACCUACCCAUAAGACUGGGAUAACUUCGGGAAACCGUAGCUAAUACCGGAUAAUAUUUUGAACCGCAUGGUUCAAAAGUGAAAGACGGUCUUGCUGUCACUUAUAGAUGGAUCCGCGCUGCAUUAGCUAGUUGGUAAGGUAACGGCUUACCAAGGCAACGAUGCAUAGCCGACCUGAGAGGGUGAUCGGCCACACUGGAACUGAGACACGGUCCAGACUCCUACGGGAGGCAGCAGUAGGGAAUCUUCCGCAAUGGGCGAAAGCCUGACGGAGCAACGCCGCGUGAGUGAUGAAGGUCUUCGGAUCGUAAAACUCUGUUAUUAGGGAAGAACAUAUGUGUAAGUAACUGUGCACAUCUUGACGGUACCUAAUCAGAAAGCCACGGCUAACUACGUG